rnacentral:piRNA from 1 species
UAUUGAUAGGUAAAUAAAAAA